rnacentral:rRNA from 1 species
CUACAGGCUUAACACAUGCAAGUCGAGGGGAAACGAUAGAGAAAGCUUGCUUUUUCUAGGCGUCGACCGGCGCACGGGUGAGUAACGCGUAUCCAACCUGCCCAUCACUUGGGGAUAACCUUGCGAAAGUAAGACUAAUACCCAAUGAUAUCUCAAGAAGACAUCUGAAUGAGAUUAAAGAUUUAUCGGUGAUGGAUGGGGAUGCGUCUGAUUAGCUUGUUGGCGGGGUAACGGCCCACCAAGGCUACGAUCAGUAGGGGUUCUGAGAGGAAGGUCCCCCACAUUGGAACUGAGACACGGUCCAAACUCCUACGGGAGGCAGCAGUGAGGAAUAUUGGUCAAUGGACGAGAGCCUGAACCAGCCAAGUAGCGUGCAGGAUGACGGCCCUAUGGGUUGUAAACUGCUUUUAUAAGGGAAUAAAGUGAGUCUCGUGAGACUUUUUGCAUGUACCUUAUGAAUAAGGACCGGCUAAUUCCGUGCCAGCAGCCGCGGUAAUACGGAAGGUCCGGGCGUUAUCCGGAUUUAUUGGGUUUAAAGGGAGCGUAGGCCGGAGAUUAAGCGUGUUGUGAAAUGUAGACGCUCAACGUCUGCACUGCAGCGCGAACUGGUUUCCUUGAGUACGCACAAAGUGGGCGGAAUUCGUGGUGUAGCGGUGAAAUGCUUAGAUAUCACGAAGAACUCCGAUUGCGAAGA